AUGCCGCCCGCCGCCAUGGCGCCGCGGCAGGCCCCUCUGCAGGGGAUCCGCUCUACGACGAGCUCUGGCACGCCUGCGUCGGCCCGCUUGUCACCGUCCCGCUCGUCAGGGACCUCGUCUUCUACUUCCCGCAGGGCCACAUCGAGCAGUCUCCAGAUGGAGCGCCUGGACCCUGUCUCCAAGCGUGAGGCCAAGAAGGCCAGCCACAAGGCGAAUGUGGAGCGCCGCAUAAAGCCUGCACCCCCAACCAGCGACCAGAAGGAGGCUGAGAAGCGCAGGCUAGAUGAGAGGAAGCAGGAGCGGUACGCCAUCGGGCUUGCCAGGGUGGCCAAGAAACAUGCUGCAAAGUCCGCCAAGACAAUUGCUGAAAAGGAGGACAAGCGCCGGCGUGCUGUUGCUGGAGUGUAUGUAGGCAUGGAGUAUGGAGUGGAAAGGGUCCGCGGAGAGUAUGGCUGGCAGAGCAGCCUCAUCCUCUUCAUGCCGGCUCGACUGCCUCUGAUUCUUCCUGUUUGCUGCCUUGCCUUGCAGAUGCGGCAGCUCAAGGGCAAGGUCGACAUCUUCUCCAGGGCCGACGGAUCGGCGCUGUUCGAGAUGGGCAACACCAGGGUCAUCGCCGCCGUCUACGGCCCCUGA
rnacentral:rRNA from 1 species